CUUCCAUUUUUUUGUUUAUCAUAACCUCUUACUUGCAUUUUUUUUAUGUUACAAAGCAUGCUAUGAUAAUUAAGUCAAAACUAACAUUAUGUAUUUAGUUAAAUUAAAAUAUUUAAGAUUUUGCUGUAUUAGGUCUGGUUGCCAACAUUGUAACCAAAUUUGAUUGUUAGGAUUAACUACAAAUGAUUUGGUUGUGCAAAAGGUGUGAAACCAUGAGUGCCAAAUUGAGAGUUUUGGAGCACAUUCUCCUGCUUGAGACUUAUACACAGGAAUCAGUCCCAACACUGCAUAAUAUAAGGAAAUAUCCCGUCGAAGCCAUUGAAGAAGCUUCACUUGCAUACAACAAAGUUGUAUGUUGUUUCUUGCAUCAUUUUCAUACGGUCACUAUAGUGGGGCAAGUAGGGACUCAUUCUUGAUCUUUUUGAUGUGCAAAAGACGAUAGUGCCUUUGUGAAUUAACACAAUUAUACCGAUUUGUAAGUGACACGACUUUAAGAAUAUCAACCCCCAUUUUGACACAAUCGCAAGGCAAUAUCAAGAAAUAGUGAAGAAACUAGAGAAUAUGCAAUGGACAAUUCACCAAGUGGAAAUGGAUCUCAACCAAUUGCCCAAUGCUUGAAAUAAAUUUGAGUUUUGGAGCAUAUUCUCCUGCAUGAGACUUAUACACAGGAAGAUAAGGAAAUAUCUCGUCGAAGCCAUUGAAGAAGCUUCACUUGCAUACAACAAAGUUGUAACAUGGCUUCGAGAACAUCAACCCCCAUUUUGACACAAUCACAAGGCAAUAUCAAGGAAUAGUGAAGUUAGGCUAACCAUUCAUUUAUAAGAUACAAUUUUACUGAAUUUAAU